UAUCUUCGACUGGGUAAUUAACGUUCUUUCUUUCUUUCGUUUUUUUCUUGUAAGAAAAAAAUAGAAUGAUAUUGGGACACCGAAAAUGGGAGACUGUGUGCUGGACCUGUGUUUUGGAAGUGGGGAUUUAGCAUUUCACUUGUCUGAAAAAGUUGGCUCCAGUGGCGGCAAGGUGAGUAAUCUUGAUUUCUCAAAGGAGCAGCUGUUUAUGGCUUCGUCCCGGCAACAUUUGCUUGCAAAGGCUUACUGCAAGAGCAUCGAGUGAGCAUUGGUGGGUUGAGGGCGAGGCAACUGAUGUGCCCUUCCCAGAUUGUUACUUUGAUGCUAUACCGUACGUUAUGGGUUUCGAAAAUGCGGUGGAUAAGCGGAAGGCCUUGCAGGAGAUGUUUAGAGUACUGAGACCAGGUCCUAUCUUCUUCCCUCGUAUUUGAAUUAACAAAUCGUGACAUUUCUCACCCUUGUGUUGAUAUACAAGUUCUAAAGCAUCAGUCCUUGAUUUUAAUUGCAAAAUGAAGAGUGCUUUUCUGUCUUUUCUCUCGCUCUCCAUGUUUGUUGAUAUAAUGUGCCUGUUGGACUCAGAGGAAUGAAAUUCGAUCCUUAGCAACGAAUGCUUUUGCAUUAAUAUUUGUCCUUUUAUCUAUGAUGAUUGAUAACUGUAGGGGGAAGAACUUGCUCUGGAAAUAGGAUUUUGUACUACCAAACACUAUGAGAUUAGUGGAGGCCUAAUGGGGAAUGUAGGAGCCACACGCUAGAUGAGGAUGGUUCAAAGUUUUGUUGGGUAAGGACAUAUUAUAUAUAGGGGUUGAUGAUUUUUAUGUUCAGAAUGUUCACUGCAACUCAGGCAUUACAAAUGAUAAGCUAAAAGCCACAAACAAUCUGGCUACAUGGAUGAUGAAUUUCCAUUGUAUUAUUUUUCGUCGGGAGCUUCCUGCCCCAAGAGAAUCCUCGAUGGAAGAGGAAAUGCAUGUCAACCCCUCAAUCAAGAAGUUUGUAUUCUUACAUGAUUUUUAUUUUCAAAAAGAUCUUAAAACUUGUAAUUCUAAUUUUCCUCAGCUAGAUUUGUUUAUUUAAACCUACAAAAUUUCCUAAA